UGCUCAUCCUCUAAGUGAUCAAUGC
rnacentral:piRNA from 1 species